rnacentral:ribozyme from 14 species
CACAAAUAUGUAUACAUGAUGGCUCUUCGCAGUGUUCCUUUCAUGCUUUUGUUUUAAUACUGACAUCAAAAGAUGGAUUGGAGAUGUUUUUCAAAUCAUGAACUCACGCUGCUGCAGCAGCUGCUGCAUUUGCAGGAGGAAAAAAACGACAAUGAAUAAGCAAAGCUU